rnacentral:rRNA from 1 species
GCUUUUGGACUGGCCUAGGGAGGGUGGCAACACCCACCCAGGGCCGGAAAGUUGUCCAAACUUGGUCAUUUAGAGGAAGUAAAAGUCGUAACAAGGUUUCCGUAGGUGAACCUGCGGAAGGAUCAUUACAGAGUUCAUGCCCUCACGGGUAGACCUCCCACCCUUGUGUAUCUAUACCAUGUUGCUUUGGCAGGCUGCUGCCCCCCUCGGGGGACAGCCCCAGCGCCUUCGGGCCUGAGAGUCGCCUGCCGGAGGAAAAACAAACUCUGAACUGUUAGUGUCGUCUGAGUACUAUAUUUUAAUAGUUGAAACUUUCAACAACGGAUCUCUUGGUUCUGGCAUCGAUGAAGAACGCAGCGAAAUGCGAUAAGUAAUGCGAAUUGCAGAAUUCCAGUGAGUCAUCGAAUCUUUGAACGCACAUUGCGCCCACUGGUAUUCCGGUGGGCAUGCCUGUCUGAGCGUCAGUAUAAUCUCAAGCAACCGCUUGGUAUUGGAAGAUGAUCUGCCUAGCAGUUCCCUUCUUAAACUGAUUGGCAAGUUUGCAUAGCAGCAAGCGUAGUAGAAAUACCAUCAGCUUAGUUACUCUGUUUAGCUUUGUCAUAAUCAAACUAUUUUUAAGGUUUGACCUCAGAUCAGGUAAGGAUACCCCCCUGAACUUAAGCAUAUCAAUAAGGGGAGGAAAAGAAACCAACAGGGAUUGCCUUAGUAACGGCGAGUGAAGCGGCAACAGCUCAAAUUUGAAAUCUGGCCUUACGGUCCGAGUUGUAAUUUGUAGAGGAUGUUUCGGGUACCGCCACGGUGUAAAUUUCUUGGAA